rnacentral:rRNA from 1 species
ACAGCAGCAGCCGCGGGAAUACGUAGGUCCCGAGCGUUGUCCGGAUUUAUUGGGCGUAAAGGGAGCGCAGGCGGUUUAGUAAGUCUGAAGUUAAAGGCAUUGGCUCAACCAAUGUAUGCUUUGGAAACUGUUAGACUUGAGUGCAGAAGGGGAGAGUGGAAUUCCAUGUGUAGCGGUGAAAUGCGUAGAUAUAUGGAGGAACACCGGUGGCGAAAGCGGCUCUCUGGUCUGUCACUGACGCUGAGGCUCGAAAGCGUGGGUAGCGAACAGGAUUAGAUACCCGCGUAGUCCCUGUCUCUUAUACA